GUGUUCGCUUCGGCAUCAUAUAUACUAAAAUUGAAAUAGAGAAGAUUAGCAUGGCUCCUGCGCAAGGAUGACAUGCAAAUUCGUGAAGCGUUCCAUAUUAAA